GGGGCGCCUCCCCUCAGCCUCAACCCGCCAAAACGAGCGGGGAGGUUCCUGUUGCUUUUUGUCGAAAGCCUCAAUUAAAAUUAAUCCGGGAAGGCAACAAUAAGGAAGGAAAUGAAGGGAUAUAUAUAAAAAUAUAUGUGUACUGCGGUAUCAUUACUUGUCGGUGGCUAUUAAGGGAGUCCUGCUGUCUGGAAAUUGGCUUUGCCUCCCAGGAAAGCUGAGGAAAGCACUGCCCUAGUUAAUGCUGCUGUAGCUCUUGGGAGAGGCUUGGAAUGGAACAGAUACAGGUUUUCUUUUGAAAUAUGCUCUUGAAUAAAUUAGUUUGCGUCCAGAAAUGGCAUCUGUUUUCCCUGGCUCAGAUAUUUUUCUAGAAAAAGUGUUUAGGUAUGCAGCUCACACAGAAAGUGGGACUAAUAUGUGAGCAGCUUUGAAAGUCGGUGCUGUGUUGAGUUAGAACAGAAAUGCCGGUUUAAUUCCAAAGUUUAAAUACAGCAAUACCGUGGGGUCAGGAGAAGGAAAGGAUGGGCCCUUAUAGAUCUUAUGAAGUGAAAAAUUAAAUGUUUGGAAGAGUUAAGUGGCCUGGCGUUCAGUGACACCAUCUAACAACAGACCUUCUCUUUUAUUUUCAAGGAAGAAGCUGAGAACACUGGCUGCACCUCUGUGUCUCUUGGAGGUCACUCGCUGAUUUAUCUCUAAUUCACAGCUCAUUAGAAGGUGUGUAACUCUUCAGAGAUGUUGUUAUUUAACAGGAAGGAGCAAUUCCCGUGGUCAUCAGAAGCAAGUGUGGAAGCUGUUUCCUGAACCGGGCUUUCCUUGUAGUGACACUGGAGGAUCUGUUAAGUGCAGUGACUCGAACAUUAUUCAGCUGUUCAAGAAUUUCGGGAGCUUUAUCAGUUACCAGCGAGCUCAUCACGGCAGCCAGCUGAAAGUUAUUAUGUAAAAUGGGUAAAUUGGAGUCUUUAAAGGAGCUGCCAACUUGCAUUUGCCUGAGUUACUUCAGCAGUGGAGAGGAGAGGAAGAAUUCCAGACACGUCAUCCUGAUUUCACAAGUCUGCAGAGAUCUCCAGAGUGGACUUACCCAUCUGUGUGAGGAGGAAGGCUAUACAUGCAAAUUUGGAUUCCUGAUGCAUUCCCACUAACUCUGCCCUUCUGUUCUGGCAGCAUUAGGAAGAACUGUGGGUGAUUGCUUUGAGUCUGUAAGGUCAUCAUGGUUGAAGGCGUGAAGAUGAGGACAUCAAAGCCUUUGCCCACUUAUGACAAUUACCUGGAGACAAACGCAGCCCAGAAGACAAAUGUUAUGUGGUACCUGUAAGUUCUGGUUCACCAAACAAAUGAGAAUCCGGAGGUACUUCUGAACUUGGAAAUGAAAUUUAUUCUCGAGGUGGAGCCUCAUCUCAAGUAGCCUUGGGAUGGCCAAAGCUGCUUCCUUUUCCAGUUCACUGCCUGGAUUUUAGGAGAUACCAUUUUUUAGCCUCGAAACAAGGAAAUCACAGCUAUUUCCAUGGGAAGAAUCACAGAGAUGACAGGGCUUCCCCCCAGAACACUGCCUGUGUAAUUGCUGAAGACAUUCCAAGCCAGUCUAACGAAGUGCUGUCUGCCAGUCAUUAUGUUCUCCUUGGAGGACCAUCUGUUGCACUUCAAAUAUGUAAAGGUCUCUAUCAUUUAUUGCUGCAAACAAAUCCAGGCCUUUGUCUGACGUGCUGGAGCUCCCGGAUGGAUUCUAAAGGUGGAUUCAGUCACAAAGGGCAGGCUAUUCCCUUUGGUUGUAUUCCUUCAGCUCGAAUUUCAGAGCACAAAUGUACUGAUUAAACCAAUAUCUGAAUAUUUUCUACUUCUUUAGAAAUGAAUUGUGAACAGCAACUAAAAAGAUCUGAAAUACGUGGGGUUUUUUGUUCAGCCAGGAGGACACUGGAAGAUUUUUGCUUCUGAUGAACAAAUUUUUCCAUUGUAGUGGUAUCCAGAUUUGAUAUAUGCUGAGAUUGGAAUGAAAAUUACCUUAUUUUGACUAAAUUCUUUAAUUAGCUUAUUUGUAUCUGAAACUAGUGAGUCAAAGGAAUAGUAAAAAAAAAAAGUCAGCAGCUUAAAAUGCUCAAACCUUCCUUAGCACAUGUCCUUUACAAGGAUGUAAUACUUGGUUGUACAGUCAUUAUUUAUAGAUUAAUUAGGAUCCUUUCCAUGAGUAAAAUGAGCAAGAUCAGGCAUUAAAAUAUGCUGGUUUUUGUUUUUCCUGCUGCAGAUUUUAAAGAGCUGUACAGUCAGUUUGGAGAGCAUGAGCCUUGUGUUUUCACAGCGGAAAAGUUCUGUUCAGAGAUUCCCAGCCAGAGGAAUCCAUAACAAUUUCUGUCUGAUUAGGGAGUGGUCCUAUCUUUUUCCCUUUCUCCUCUUUCCCUUCUCCUUCCUGCACAGCAGCUAAUGUUCUGGUCAGAAGUAAUAAUAUGUUAGAUCUUGAAUGUCAGCAGCCCCAGAGAUUCUGACAAGACUAUUCAUGUGCAUUCAUACGUCUUAACCAAAGCUGACACUAAAGAGAGCAAGAAUUCUCAUAUUCCUCUUUUUAUUGCCGUGCAUUAAACCCAAAUCUUCUCUUGGAGACCUCUGCUAGAAAUGACACAUUCACCAUUUGAAAAAGGCAUUUUAGCAAGGUCUAAACAAAGCAGCUGGACAUCAAUCUGGCACAGGGCAGGGGCUCCUGUGAGAGCUCACAUUGCAAAGCUGAACUCUGCUUUACACCUUACAAAUGUUGUGAGAUAAAUACUAAUGGGAAAUAACCGUUCCUCCGAAUCUUUCUAAAUUUCAAUUAAAAAUCAAGUGAUUUAUUUAUUUAUUUAUUUAAACCAUAGGACAUGUCUUUAUAGGAAUAUUUGGAUUCUGGAAAUUCAGGGUUGUUUUCUGACAGAAACACUAAGUGAAUAUUCUGCUCUGCCUUUUACUCUGGACAUAUUUUACACACACUUGUAGGAUGGUGCACAGCACAUGUUUGGGUAAUUUUGCAGGGAUUCUGAUUAAGCUGUUAAAGCCAGGUAGGUAAUUUUGCCAGCAAUGAUAUUUUUAAUCUUCUUUUUUAAAAUGGUUUGGUAGUAGUGACUAAGGCAGACUAGGUGGCUCUGGGCAGCUCGCCAUUUUUAGGUAGUUUAAUUUGUUAAAAAUUAUCUUUCUUCCCACCCAAAUCCCCUUGAAACCAUUUGGAGAAGAGAACUGUUGAACAGUUGCCAGUAAUAAGUCCUGCUGAGACCUCUGUAUCCUCCUGACAGAAAUGUUGGUGCCAACUGGAGACUGACUGGCACGAGUUUGAACUCUACACUGCUUGAUAUAUUUACUUCACAUGCACCAAUUACAAUAAUUACCACCUCUGCAGCUGAAGUUUAAGCGCUGCAGGUCUGCACUCCAUACCUCAGAUGGUUGGCAGUAUGUUCAAUCCUAUAAUCUCCAUUUUCUUGGAAUAAUUACGUAGAAAAUAAGGAGAGAGUCUGAAUGGGAAUCAGAGGCUGAAUAAUAGAGUUGUUUGUCAUGUUGCUAUUGUUAAGCUUCAUUUAUUUCUAUUUAAUCUUUCUUUCUAAAAGGCAGCAUCUUCUUUUGCCUGCAGAGAUCCACCAGGAGCUGCUGUAGUCCAUUGACUUUUAUAUUCAGCAGUGGAGUAUCUCUUGAUGUGAAUGAAAAGGCAACAUGAACUCCUACUUUGUUUAGAUGUUUUAAAAAUAUAAAUAUUCCUUUCAAAAGAAAUGCUUUUGACUAGAAGGGGAAAUCGCCCAUCCCUUACUCCUUUUGGCUGGGUGUUUCCAUGUGAGAUUGUAGGGAUUUAAAUCCCAGGAUUGGCUUUAACUGCCCAGCUCCUGUCAAUUCCACUGGUUUAAAUCUGAUGCAAUGGGGACCAUCUCUCCAAUCCCUGUUGGCUUUCCAAGAGACUGGUUAAUUUUUAAAUUGGAUCAGCAACAUUUAAAAAAAAAAAAAAAAAAUCUCCAAAAAUGGUUACGUUUCUAUUGCAUAAAGAUAAACCUUAGACUGAGCACAAACUGACUUGCCUGUAGCUUUCCUAAUAUGAUUGCACUGCACAGAGUAGAUACUAAAAUUUAUAUUAAAAUUUCUUCAUGCAACUUCCCUCUGGGGAGAGGAAGAGGGAAGGAAAAAGCUUCAUGUGACAGAUGCUAAUUAUGCAGCUUAAUGCACUUCUGGAAGUUGCAGAGAUGAGAACUCUAUAAGAACCUAUCUACAAAACAAAGCACAUUUUCAACAGCAUUUUUUCCUCAAUUCUUUUUUAAUCUGCCUCCCCUCUGUUUUCCAGGAGACUUUAUUUCCCAGAGAAAUACAAAUUACAAAGGGCAAGCAGUGUCUCGGGUGCAGAAUUCUCCAGACGUGGAUGUGAUUGUUCUCCACUGUGUCUUACUCUUCUGAGGUGCUGUUCAUAGAACUGGGAAAGCUUCAAGGUUCUGAGCCAGGAAGAGUUUGAGCUCAAAGUUCCCUUCUUGAUGCGUUAGUUUUUUUUCCUCUUUAGUGGAUAUUUUAUCAGUUCCUUAUCCUGUGUUUAGGGUUACUGGAAAAAUGAUGUUCUGCACUUGUGCUGGGAUCCUCUAGAAGGAUUUCUAGUGAUGAACGUGUCAAGAUCCCAAAAUGCAUUACAUAGAGAGGUGAACUGGGACACAUGAACUGAGUUCCUCAAAACUGGGAGGUGCAGCCACACCAAAUCCAGUGUUAGACACUAAUCCUCUCCUCCAGACCCUGAGCUGUGCUGUUUGAGGGAAAAGAAAUCGGAAAAUUUGGUGUUAUCAAGAACCAUCGUCCUGGAUGUCCAAAUCCACCACACCCCUUUUACCAAAUGAUUCCUUUUCCUCUUAGUGAUAGAUCCAUACCAGCUCUUGUGUACUUAAUGCCAAAUGCUGCUUUCCCUGAUUUCCAUCAUAUCCUUGGAUUUCUCCGCUGGGGAGGAGUGACUCGAGAACCUUUGCUGCAGGGACAUCACGGUGGCGCUGGGAGCUCCGAGGGGCACCCAGGAAUGCUCCUCACAGCCCCUGGCUGCAGCCAGCCCAGGGAAAACCAUCUGUUCCCCUUGGAAAGGGGUUUGCUUCCCCCCGGAGCCCUCCCCCCGCGUCCCGGCCCCGGCCCCAGCUGCCGUGUUUCGAUGAGCACCGAGGGAAUGAAUCUCCUGCGUUUAAAAAUACUCUGCUUCUAUUUAGAUGAAAAGAAGAAUCUUGCUUGCCUACACUGGCAUACAAAAAUAGGCUCAGUGUGAGUAAAUCUUCAAAGUUUCUCUUGGUGAAUAUAUCUAGCCUCACUUCUUUCUUUUUUUUAACUUAUAAGUUUAUUUAUAGAGUGUCCUUCUUUCCUCCUACUCUAUCGAGACAUUUGCAGAAGGUUGUUGCUCGUCUUGUUCAGGAGUCCUGAAAUAAUUUGCAGGGCCUUUGAAACAUCAUCGUGUUGCAUAGUUGUGAUCAACGUGCUGCUGUUGCAUGAACGUAUCAUAUUUUAAUGUGAAUGUCAGGUUAGCCGAGACAUUCAGGGCUUUCUUUUCCUCUAGGUGCUUUACACUGGUUUGUGUUUUCACUUGAACGCUGCAGUAAAAAUUCUGCAUAUAGUAACUUAAAAUUUUCCAUUCUACAUGCAAGGCAUUGCCUAGAAAAUUAAUGUGUAAUAUGAGAGGAUUAGUAAGAUGCAUACACUUUCCAAACAUCUCUUAAAAAUAGCUUUCGCUGUCACUGUAGCAUCUAAAUUCUGAAUAAUCUCACAGUCCUUCUGCAAAUCUGUGCAAGUAGUAACAGAGAAGCCACCUACUUCAUCCUCUUGAACUGCACAAUAUGGAUCUGGGCAUGGAAAAACUGGCUUUUGGAGUAGGACUCUGCUUUGGCAGAGAGGCAGUCUGUGAGACUAGUGAGAGCACUAACGCUUGCAUUAAAUAUUAAAGUCAGCUUUCACA